CCAAAACCCAACCCAAAUUCUUAUAAUUUCACUCCGGACUCCUCUCUCUUCUCUCUCUCCGCACACGCUUCAUCCCAUAGCGACGCCAUGUCCGACGACUCAAGGUCUACCGACUCCAGAUCCGGUAAUUAAUCCUCAUUCGGAAGUAUCUAUUAUAGUGUUUACAACAGACUUCCAUCCCAAAUUAUUAUUUCAUUUAUGCCGCUCUAUUGGCUCUCCCCACACAAGAGGAUUUUGGUGUUUCUGUAUUAUACUAUUGAAAUGGAGAAUGUAUGUUUUUGAAAUGAUUGUAAAUUUGUUUUGGGUGCUUUAUUUAGAGAAGUUCAUUUUCGGGUUUGUAAAUGAGGAGCUUAUAUAUUUCGACAGUUGAUUACCUGGAAAUUAUUGUGUUAAAAAUGUCACCUAAUUUUUACAGAUCUUCAUAUUUGGGUGGGUGUUGGUACUAUGACAAUUGUAGUGUUUUUGGGUGGGCUUUGGUGCUAUCCCUUCAACUGAAUUCGUUUUUUUUUUGGAAUGGUAAUGCUAGCUAGUGGUUUUUUGCUUUUCUUUAUGCAAAUUCCAUCCGUAGUAGUCUUUUAAUUUGGGUUUUAUGUUUUAUCCUGAAGCAAAUUCCAGCCACAGUUACAUGUCCAUUGGAGAAAAUUGUUUCAUUUACAUUUGGGUAUAUUGCUACUUGCCAAUUCGAAUAUUAUUGUGAUGUGUUUUUUUCGUUGUUAUAUUAGAAUUCGUCGAUGGCUAGAAGAAAUAAGGGGUAUGUCAUUCAUGUAGACGGGUAGGACACAUGUUGCCAGAUUGUCCCUGAAAGAGAAGAUGUCCAAACUGUGGCCAAGGCUAUGUUAAAUGGAUGGAGAUGGAAAAGCAAAGCGAUAACAAAGGGCGUUUGUUCCAUCGUUGUACCUGUGAUGUAUGUCGAUUUUUCGAACUGGAAUAAAUCUCCUCUUGCCGCAGUAUAUCCCUUGCAAGAUGAAGGUCAAUCAAGUGGCAUCUCUAAUGGUAGUGAAGCCGUCGAUGAUUUGUCACAUAUGUUGGAAAUGUGUGCUAACAUAACCGAGAAAAAAGACAUUGAGAUCUUUCUCAACAUCAUAACAAUUCGAAAGGGACAACGGGAUUCGGAAGAUGUUCUAUGAACUUUGAUGUAAUGGGAUGGUUUAAGAAUAUUUAAUCUUCGGUGUCAUGCGUUAACUAAUGAUUUUGUAAAUGUUUCAAGACAGCUUGGAUCCAUAAAUUUCAGUAGGUUUUCAAUUUCUUGUUAUGAGCAUUAUCUUUAAGACAUGCUUUACUAAUGUGCUGUUGAGUUUAAAUGCUUCUGUGA
rnacentral:lncRNA from 1 species